GUCGAGGGGUAACAGGAGUAGCUUGCUACUUGCUGACGACCGGCGCACGGGUGCGUAACGCGUAUACAAUCUACCUUAUACUGGGGAAUAGCCUUUGGAAACGAAGAUUAAUGCCCCAUAGUAUUAUUGAAUGGCAUCGUUUAAUAAUUAAAACUCCGGUGGUAUAAGAUGAGUAUGCGUUCUAUUAGUUAGUUGGUAAGGUAACGGCUUACCAAGACAUCGAUAGAUAGGGGUCCUGAGAGGGAGAUCCCCCACACUGGUACUGAGACACGGACCAGACUCCUACGGGAGGCAGCAGUGAGGAAUAUUGGACAAUGGGCGCAAGCCUGAUCCAGCCAUGCCGCGUGCAGGAAGACUGCCCUAUGGGUUGUAAACUGCUUUUAUAUGGGAAGAAUAAGGGGUACGUGUACUCUGAUGACGGUACCAUAAGAAUAAGCACCGGCUAACUCCGUGCCAGCAGCCGCGGUAAUACGGAGGGUGCAAGCGUUAUCCGGAAUCAUUGGGUUUAAAGGGUCCGUAGGCGGGCAUAUAAGUCAGUGGUGAAAUGCUGUGGCUCAACCAUAGCACUGCCAUUGAUACUGUAUGUCUUGAAUUAUUGUGAAGUGGUUAGAAUAUGUAGUGUAGCGGUGAAAUGCUUAGAUAUUACAUAGAAUACCGAUUGCGAAGGCAGAUCACUAACAAUAUAUUGACGCUGAUGGACGAAAGCGUAGGUAGCGAACAGGAUUAGAUACCCUGGUAGUCUACGCCGUAAACGAUGGAUACUAGUUGUUUGGCUUUCGGGCUGAGUGACUAAGCGAAAGUGAUAAGUAUCCCACCUGGGGAGUAC
rnacentral:rRNA from 1 species